rnacentral:rRNA from 1 species
GAUUUUGCGCAUGGGGGAACCCUGNCGCACAACGCCGCGUGGAGGAUGAAGCCCUUUGGGGCGUAAACUCCUUUCGACCAAGACGAUAAUGACGGUACUGGUGGAAGAAGCACCGGCUAACUCCGUGCCAGCAGCCGCGGUAAUACAGAGGGUGCAAGCGUUGUUCGGAAUUAUUGGGCGUAAAGGGUGCGUAGGCGGCGCGGUAAGUCACCUGUGAAAUCUCCCGGCUUAACUGGGAGCCUGCAGGCGAAACUACCGUGCUGGAGUAUGGGAGAGGUGCGUGGAAUUCCCGGUGUAGCNGGUGAAAUGCGUAGAUAUCGGGAGGAACACCUGUGGCGAAAGCGGCGCACUGGACCAUAACUGACGCUGAUGCACGAAAGCUAGGGGAGCAAACAGGAUUAGAUACCCUGGUAGUCCUAGCCCUAAACGAUGAUUGCUUGGUGUAGCAGGUACCCAAUCCUGCCGUGCCGAAGCUAACGCGAUAAGCAAUCCGCCUGGGGAGUACGGUCGCAAGGCUGAAACUCAAAAAAAUUGACGGA